rnacentral:rRNA from 1 species
UACGGAGGGUGCAAGCGUUAUCCGGAUUCACUGGGUUUAAAGGGUGCGUAGGCGGGCAGGUAAGUCCGUGGUGAAAUCUCUGAGCUUAACUCAGAAACUGCCAUGGAUACUAUUUGUCUUGAAUGUUGUGGAGGUAAGCGGAAUAUGUCAUGUAGCGGUGAAAUGCUUAGAUAUGACAUAGAACACUCAUUGCGAAGGCAGCUUACUACACAAAUAUUGACGCUGAGGCACGAAAGCGUGGGGAUCAAACAGG